AAAUUGAAGAGUUUGAUCAUGGCUCAGAUUGAACGCUGGCGGCAGGCCUAACACAUGCAAGUCGAACGGUAACAGGAAGCAGCUUGCUGCUUUGCUGACGAGUGGCGGACGGGUGAGUAAUGUCUGGGAAACUGCCUGAUGGAGGGGGAUAACUACUGGAAACGGUGGCUAAUACCGCAUAACGUCGCAAAACCAAAGAGGGGGACCUUCGGGCCUCUUGCCAUCAGAUGUGCCCAGAUGGGAUUAGCUUGUUGGUGAGGUAACGGCUCACCAAGGCGACGAUCCCUAGCUGGUCUGAGAGGAUGACCAGCCACACUGGAACUGAGACACGGUCCAGACUCCUACGGGAGGCAGCAGUGGGGAAUAUUGCACAAUGGGCGCAAGCCUGAUGCAGCCAUGCCGCGUGUAUGAAGAAGGCCUUCGGGUUGUAAAGUACUUUCAGCGGGGAGGAAGGUGUUG
rnacentral:rRNA from 1 species